UUUAGAUGGCGACCGGCGCACGGGUGAGUAACACGUAUCCAACCUGCCGAUGACUCGGGGAUAGCCUUUCGAAAGAAAGAUUAAUACCCGAUGGCAUAGUUCUUCCGCAUGGUGGAACUAUUAAAGAAUUUCGGUCAUCGAUGGGGAUGCGUUCCAUUAGGUUGUUGGCGGGGUAACGGCCCACCAAGCCUUCGAUGGAUAGGGGUUCUGAGAGGAAGGUCCCCCACCAUUGGAACUGAGACACGGUCCAAACUCCUACGGGAGGCAGCAUG
rnacentral:rRNA from 1 species